GACGAACGCUGGCGGCGUGCUUAACACAUGCAAGUCGAACGGAAAGGCCCUGCUUUUGUUGGGUGCUCGAGUGGCGAACGGGUGAGUAACACGUGAGUAACCUGCCCUUGUCUUUGGGAUAACUUCAGGAAACUGGGGCUAAUACCGGAUAGGAGCUCCUGCUGCAUGGUGUGGGUUGGAAAGUUUCGGCGGUUGGGGAUGGACUCGCGGCUUAUCAGCUUGUUGGUGGGGUAGUUGCUUACCAAGGCUUUGACGGGUAGCCGGCCUGAGAGGGUGACCGGCCACAUUGGGACUGAGAGACGGACCAGACUCCUACGGGAGGCAGCAGUGGGGAAUAUUGCACAAUGGGCGGAAGCCUGAUGCAGCAAUGCCGCGUGCGGGAUGACGGCCUUCGGGUUGUAAACCGCUGUGGCCUGUGACGAAGAGUGAGUGACGGUAAUGGGUAAAGAAGCACCGGCUAACUACGUG
rnacentral:rRNA from 1 species